rnacentral:tRNA from 1 species
GAGGCUUAGGAUAACAUAAGACCAAGGGCCUUCAAAGCCCUAAACAGGAGUGAAAAUCUCCUAGCCCCU